GAUGAACGCUAGCGGCAGGCCUAACACAUGCAAGUCGAGGGGUAAGAAGAGCUUGCUUUUCUGAGACCGGCGCACGGGUGCGUAACGCGUAUACAAUCUACCUUGUACAGGGGGAUAGCCCAGAGAAAUUUGGAUUAAUACCUCAUAGUGUUAUUGAGUGGCAUCACUUGAUAACUAAAGUUCCAACGGUACAAGAUGAGUAUGCGUCCCAUUAGUUAGAUGGUAAGGUAACGGCUUACCAUGACAAUGAUGGGUUGGGGUCCUGAGAGGGAGAUCCCCCACACUGGUACUGAGACACGGACCAGACUCCUACGGGAGGCAGCAGUGAGGAAUAUUGGACAAUGGGGGCAACCCUGAUCCAGCCAUGCCGCGUGCAGGAUGACGGUCCUAUGGAUUGUAAACUGCUUUUAUACAGGAAGAACCCCUUCUUUGCGAAGAAGACUGACGGUACUGUAAGAAUAAGGAUCGGCUAACUCCGUGCCAGCCGCCGCUGUAACAC
rnacentral:rRNA from 1 species